rnacentral:rRNA from 1 species
GGACUACACGGGUAUCUAAUCCGGUUCGCGCCCCUGGCUUUCGUCCCUCACCGUCAGGUUCGUUCCAGUUAGCCGCCUUCGCCACAGGUGGUCCUCCCAGGAUUACAGGAUUUCACCCCUACCCUGGGAGUACCGCUAACCUCUCCCGACCUCAAGUCUAAUAGUAUCUCCAGCAAGUCCCACAGUUAAGCUAUAGGAUUUCACCAGAGACUUAUCAAACCGGCUACGAACGCUUUAGGCCCAAUAAAAAUGGCUACCACUAGAGCUGCCGGUGUUACCGCGGCGGCUGGCACCGGUCUUGCCCAGCCCUUAUUCCAAAAGCUUUUUACACUUAAGAAAAGCCACCCCGUUAAGAGUGGCACUUGGGGUCCCCCCGUCGCGAUUGCUCGCAUUGCGGAGGUUUCGCGCCUGCUGCCCCCCAUAGG